rnacentral:rRNA from 1 species
CCUUCGGGGUACUCGAGCGGCGAACGGGUGAGUAACACGUGAGCAACCUGCCCUAGGCUUUGGGAUAACCCCGGGAAACCGGGGCUAAUACCGAAUAGGACCUCCGACCGCAUGGUCGGGGGUGGAAAGUUUUUCGGCCUGGGAUGGGCUCGCGGCCUAUCAGCUUGUUGGUGGGGUGAUGGCCUACCAAGGCGACGACGGGUAGCCGGCCUGAGAGGGCGACCGGCCACACUGGGACUGAGACACGGCCCAGACUCCUACGGGAGGCAGCAGUGGGGAAUAUUGCACAAUGGGCGGAAGCCUGAUGCAGCGACGCCGCGUGAGGGAUGACGGCCUUCGGGUUGUAAACCUCUUUCAGCAGGGACGAAGCGUAAGUGACGGUACCUGCAGAAGAAGCGCCGGCCAACUACGUGCCAGCAGCCGCGGUAAGACGUAGGGCGCGAGCGUUGUCCGGAUUUAUUGGGCGUAAAGAGCUCGUAGGCGGCUUGUCGCGUCGACUGUGAAAACCCGCAGCUC